rnacentral:lncRNA from 1 species
UUUUUUUUUUUUUUUUUUUUUUUUUUUUGGGAGAUAGAUAGCAUGAUACCCGUUUUGUUUAAUUCAUUGAGAAAUAAACUUAGCUGGAAAUGUGAAUCAACUAGAAUUCGAACUUGGGUCUCGAAUACCAACCAUCAAGUCCUUUGCCACUUGCUUUAGGAACGGUCUGUCAUUUCCCCUGCUUAUUAGAGCUUCUUUUUUUCUUUUUUUCUUUUUUUGAGAGAAAUAGGUAGCACGCUAUCCGCAUCGUUUUAUUUCAUUUAGAAAUAAACUUAGCUGGAAAUAUGAAUCAACUAGGAUUCGAACUUAGGUUUCGAGUACCAGCCAGCAAACCCUUUACCACUUGCUCUAGGGACGGUCCGUAUUAGA